rnacentral:rRNA from 1 species
GACGAACGCUGGCGGCGUGCUUAACACAUGCAAGUCGAACGGUAAGGCCCUUCGGGGUACACGAGUGGCGAACGGGUGAGUAACACGUGGGUGAUCUGCCCUGCACUUCGGGAUAAGCCUGGGAAACUGGGUCUAAUACCGGAUAGGACUCCUGGCUUCAUGGUUGGGGGUGGAAAGCUUUUGCGGUGUGGGAUGGGCCCGCGGCCUAUCAGCUUGUUGGUGGGGUCAUGGCCUACCAAGGCGACGACGGGUAGCCGGCCUGAGAGGGUGACCGGUCACACUGGGACCGAGAUACGGCACAGACUGCUAGGGGAGGGAGCAGUGGGGAAUAUUGCACAAUGGGCGCAAGCCUGAUGCAGCGACGCCGCGUGAGGGAUGACGGCCUUCGGGUUGUAAACCUCUUUCAGCUAUGACGAAGCGCAAGUGACGGUAGUAGCAGAAGAAGGACCGGCCAACUACGUGCCAGCAGCCGCAGUAA